AAGGUAAGCAUUACAAGCGCCAUGAGACUUAGAUUAAUCGAUUUUUAUAUUUUAUUCUGUAGUAUAUAGUCUAUGUAAAACAAUAAUAGCUGUGGCAAGUAAAGGAGGAUGUCCAGAGAAUGUCCUUUGCAUUAUUUACUAAUAACCUCUGCUGUAAACUUAACUGGUCUGGUAUUACCAUAAAUGACAAUGAAAGUAACUUUGUAAAACAAAGACUUACACUUGCUUAAAAGAGCUGUAAAAAGAAAUCCUGCAACAACUUCAGCAACUGAAUCAGAUUUUCAAUAUGAGGUUGUGCGUUUUUUGCGUGGUGCAUGAGACCAC